rnacentral:rRNA from 1 species
GCCAUGCAUGCCCGCGCACCCGGGAGGCGGCGGACGGCUCAGGACAACGGUUGCACCCCCCGCGGCGGUCCCUGCUAGCCGGACACCGCUGGCAACCCGGCGCCAAGACGUGCGCGCAAGGGCGGGCGCCCGCGGGCGAGCAGCGUGACGCAGCGACGGCCCGCCCGGGCUUCCGGGGCAUCACCCGGUCGGCGCGGUCGCGGCGCGCCGAGGGCCCGACGCCUGGCGGAGA